GUGAGGAAUAUUGGACAAUGGGCGAAAGCCUGAUCCAGCCAUGCCGCGUGAUAGAUGAAGGCCCUCUGGGUUGUAAAUAUCUUUUAUCUGGGAAGAAACUCCUCUAUUCUUAGAGGCCUGACGGUACCAGAGGAAUAAGCACCGGCUAACUCCGUGCCAGCAGCCGCGGUAAUACGGAGGGUGCAAGCGUUAUCCGGAUUCACUGGGUUUAAAGGGUGCGUAGGCGGGUUGAUAAGUCAGUGGUGAAAGCUCCGGGCUUAACUUGGAAACUGCCAUUGUUACUGUCAAUCUUGAAUGUCGUAGAGGUAAGCGGAAUGUUGCAUGUAGCGGUGAAAUGCUUAGAUAUGUUACAGAACACCAAUUGCGAAGGCAGCUUACUAUGCGAUAAUUGACGCUGAGGCACGAAAGCGUGGGGAGCAAACAGGAUUAGAAACCCGGGUAGUCC
rnacentral:rRNA from 1 species